rnacentral:lncRNA from 1 species
AUUGAUUUUAGAAAAUUUUCUUUGUGUAAAAGAGGUAAUGUGAAAGAAUCAGUUUUCGGGUUUUACCAAGGUUAAGAUCAACGAAUAUGCUAUUUUGGAAAGAAAUCUAAUUAUGUGCACGGGAAACAAGCCAAGUCGUUAAUGUACUGUUUAUUCUUUGUGUUGGGACCUUCGUCCGUUAGAGUUAUGUAAGCGAUUUUCUGUGUGCCUAUAGCGAUUUGGCUACGUUUUUGCGAAGUUAUGCCGAAUCAUAAAAUAACUUCCGUGAAGCAACAGCCAUCUCAGCAGUCGCUUGAUUCUUCACGAGCUAGCAACACUCAUUGUAGCAAGUACGUUUUUUAUUACAAUUUUAAGUAUAUGUAUUGACUAAAAUUUAUUUCUUUAAAUAUAUAUAUAUACACACACACAUAUAUGCGUACUUCAGUUUGCUUGCUAAUAAUGUUAUAUUACGUGCCAGCGAUCGGGAAGUAAUAUUUCGGAAGUCCACCACCGGGAGGUAAAUUGGAUAUGCCUUGAUCCAUGAGCAUAUGAAGAAGUUUUAAAAAAACAAAGUCCUUUUUGUCCGCCUCUCGUGAAACUAUAUCUAUAGAAACAAAUGUGAAUGUUAAUGUAUAUUUAAAAUAUGGUUUAGUAGUUUAUAAUUGUAAGUGCAUAAAUUGCAGGAAAAUGAUUUUGUUUUUAUGCAAAUUAAAAAAAAAAAUAUAUAUAUACAUAAUUUAAGAGUGCAAGCAUGUUGCAGAUGCAUGAACAUCAUCAUUCACCUUCUAUAUUGUUCGUAGAUAAUAUUAAAUAAAAUAUAUUUUAGAUAUUAACAUUAUAAUAAAUUAAAAUAACAAACGAUAAUAACAAUACUUGCUUAAUUUUAAAGCUUGCAUAUGAUUAUAACUGAAAAGUAUGUAAUGAUACUAAAAUAAUGAAUACACUCAUAAGCAACAAAUAAAUUACUAUUUGAAUUUCAAAAAACAUGCAGCUACUUAGGACUGGAAUUUUUGUGUGUAUUUUACAGUACAUUUCUUAUGGACGAAAAUAAAAUUGAGUGGCACUCAGUGGUACUCCGGUCAUAAGUAGGUACAUUCCUUUUUUUACAAAAUUUGUUUAAUUAUAUCUAAUAUGGGUUAAAUUUUCCACCAUUGGAAUUGUUUGAUUUAUCUUUCUAAUCAAGAAAUCAUUAUUAAUAAAUUUUGUUGAUUACUUUUUUAACUUAAAUCUUAUUAUAUUUAAAAAUCAAUAACGGCAACUGCAAUAUUCUGCCAUAAGAAAUGCAUUGCCGUUAUAUCUAUACUGAGUACUUGAGAAUAAAAUGUAAAAAAAAGUCUACAACGAAAUCUUUAUUCUCUUACCUACCUGUCAACACGUCUUCUAAAAAAUUUAGCGGAAUAAAAUUAAGUUCAAACCUUUUGCUUUAUUUUAACUUAACAACUCCAAAGGUGGAACUAUGUUUUGCCUAAAUAACUCCGGAAUACCAAAUUAUAAUUGAAAAUAAUUUAAAAUUGGAUACAAAAAUUACAUCAUUUAAGAUCAUCAAUAACAAUCCAGAAUAAUAUUUAUUGCUUUUGUACUAUAUAUUCCUGGCACAAUAAAACUUUUUAUGACAAAAUAUUA